GCCGACGUGGCUCAGUGGCAGAGCGUUCCCUUGGUAAGGGAAAGGUCAUGGGUUCGAUUCCCAUCGUCGGCU
rnacentral:tRNA from 3 species